rnacentral:rRNA from 1 species
ACUCCUACGGGAGGCAGCAGUGGGGAAUAUUGCACAAUGGGCGCAAGCCUGAUGCAGCCAUGCCGCGUGUAUGAAGAAGGCCUCGGUUGUAAAGUACUUUCAGCAGUGAGGAAGGUGGGUAGUGUUAAUAGCAUACUCAUUUGACGUUAGCUGCAGAAGAAGCACCGGCUAACUCCGUGCCAGCAGCCGCGGUAAUACGGAGGGUGCGAGCGUUAAUCGGAAUUACUGGGCGUAAAGCGCAUGCAGGUGGUUUGUUAAGUCAGAUGUGAAAGCCCGGGGCUCAACCUCGGAAUUGCAUUUGAAACUGGCAAACUAGAGUACUGUAGAGGGGGUAGAAUUUCAGGUGUAGCGGUGAAAUGCGUAGAGAUCUGAAGGAAUACCGGUGGCGAAGGCGGCCCCCUGGACAGAUACUGACACUCAGAUGCGAAAGCGUGGGGAGCAAACAGGAUUAGAU